GGGUGCGAUCAUACCAGCACUAAUGCAUCGGAUCCCAUCAGAACUCCGCAGUCGAGUGUGCUUGGGCGAGAGUAGUACUAGGAUGGGUGACCUCCUGGGAGUCCUCGUGUUGCACCCC
rnacentral:rRNA from 1 species